rnacentral:lncRNA from 1 species
GCUUUUGUCCUGCGCGCGCAGAUUAACGCAAACCCGGAAGCGGAUCGGGUGGAGUGUAGGUCAUAUCGCCGCGUUGACUAGAUAACGAAGGACAAUGCAUAUAUACAAAAUUGCUGUAUUGCCUGGUGAUAUGCAGCUGUACCUGUGACAUCAUAAUUGCACCCUCCGACAUGAUAUCUCUUCCAAAUGCUUGAUGAAAAAGGUGGGAGGAUCACUUGAGCCAGGGAGUUGAAGGCUGCAGUGAGCCCUGUUUUUGCCACCACACUCCAGCUUGGAGAUAGGAGAAAACUGCCUUAUGGCUGUAGGUGAGACAUGCUGGUGGCAAUACUGCUGUUUACUGCACUGAGAUGUUUGUGUAAAGUCAAACAUAAAUCUACCCUACAUGCACAUCGAGGAAGUGAGGAGCGUCUCUGCCUGGCCACCCAUUGUCUGAGAUGUGAGGAGCCUCUCUGCCCGGCUGCCCAGUCUGGGAAAUGAGGAGCACCUCUGCACGGCCGCCAUCCCAUCUA